rnacentral:misc_RNA from 1 species
UAGAAUAAAAAUCGAGUCGUCGCUCUUUUUUUUAAGGGUGAUCGCGUCGGAAUUGAGCCGUCUUUCAAAUGUUAAUUCAUGUCAAAGUGGCUUAAAAUUUAUCCAUCCGGUACGAUUAAAGCGUAUUUAAGAUCAAUUUUGAUUAAGAACGCGCGAUGACGUACCAUCUCAUGUAGUACGUUUGACCUGGCGUCGUCAGGAUCAUUCGUAUACGAUACUCAAC